rnacentral:rRNA from 1 species
UACGUACGAGGCGAGCGUUAUCCGGAAUUACUGGGCGUAAAGCGCGCGCAGGCGGAUGCUUAAGUGAGGCGGUGAAAUCUCCCGGCCUAACUGGGAGGGGUCGACCUCAGACUGGGCGUCGUUAGGACGGCAGAGGUAGGUGGAAUUCCUGGUGUAGUGGUGAAAUGCGUAGAGAGUCAGGAGGAACGACCGGUGGCGAAGGCGGCCUACUGGGCCGUCACUGACGCUGAGGCGCGAAAGCUAGGGGAGCAAACAG